CUUUUUGUAGAACGGGCCAACGAGUUACGUUAAGUAGCAAGGUUAAGCACUUAAGGUGCGGAGCCGUAGCGAAAGCGAGUUUUAACUGAGCGUUCAGUUAUUUGACGUAGACCCGAAACCGGGCGACCUACCCAUGAGCAGGAUGAAGCGAAAGUAAAAUUUCGUGGAGGUCCGAACCCACGAGCGUUGAAAAGCUCGGGGA
rnacentral:rRNA from 1 species